UACGGGGGAGCAAGCGUUGUUCGGAUUUACUGGGCGUAAAGGGCGCGUAGGCGGCCACCGCAAGUCGACUGUGAAAUCUCCGGGCUUAACCCGGAAAGGUCAGCCGAUACUGCGGGGCUAGAGUGCAGAAGGGGCAACUGGGAAUUCUCGGGUGUAGCGGUGAAAUGCGUAGAUAUCGAGAGGAACACCUGCGGCGAAGGGCGGGGUU
rnacentral:rRNA from 1 species